GAUGAAGAACGCAGCAAAAUGCGAUAAGUAAUGUGGAUUGCAGAAUUCAGUGAAUCAUCGAAUCUUUGAACGCACAUUGCGCCCGCCAGUAUUCUGGCGGGCAUGCCUGUUCGAGCGUCAUUUCAACCCUCAAGCACAGCUUGGUGUUGGGACUCGCGUUAAUUCGCGUUCCCCAAAUUGAUUGGCGGUCACGUCGAGCUUCCAUAGCGUAGUAGUAAAACCCUCGUUACUGGUAAUCGUCGCGGCCACGCCGUUAAACCCCAACUUCUGAAUGUUGACCUCGGAUCAGGUAGGAAUACCCGCUGAACUUAAGCAUAUCAAUAAGCGGAGGA
rnacentral:misc_RNA from 1 species